CAAAGAUAAAAACGCAACGCAGGCGCAAAACGUCUGUAGAGCCGGUAGGUAGCCCGGCCGCACCGAGAGGUGUAAGUAACCCUCCCUCCUUGGGUCGUCCGUUCUUUGCG
rnacentral:ncRNA from 1 species